rnacentral:rRNA from 1 species
CCCCUAGUAACGGCGAGUGAAGCGGGAACAGCUCAAAUUUGAAAUCUGGCCUUCGGGUCCGAAUUGUAAUUUGUAGAGGAUGCUUUUGGUUAGGUACUUUCCGAGUUCCCUGGAACGGGACGCCUUAGAGGGUGAGAGCCCCGUACGGUUGGAUACCGAGCCUCUGUAAAGCUCCUUCGACGAGUCGAGUAGUUUGGGAAUGCUGCUCUAAAUGGGAGGUAAAUUUCUUCUAAAGCUAAAUACCGGCCAGAGACCGAUAGCGCACAAGUAGAGUGAUCGAAAGAUGAAAAGCACUUUGAAAAGAGGGUUAAAUAGCACGUGAAAUUGUUGAAAGGGAAGCGUUUAUGACCAGACUUUUUCCAGGCGGAUCAUCCGGUGUUCUCACCGGUGCACUUCGUCUGGUUGAGGCCAGCAUCGGUUUUCGUAGAGGGAUAAAAGCGGUAGGAAUGUGACUCCCCCGGGAGUGUUAUAGCCUGCCGUAUAAUACCUCUAUGGGGACCGAGGUUCGCGCUCUGCAAGGAUGCUGGCGUAAUGGUCAUCAACGACCCGUCUUGAAACACGGACCAAGGAGUCGAACAUUUGUGCAAGUGUUUGGGUGUUAAACCCUCACGCGUAAUGAAAGUGAACGGAGGUGAGAGCCCUUACGGGUGCAUCAUCGACCGAUCCUGAUGUUUUCGGAUGGAUUUGAGUAAGAGCAUAACUGUUCGGACCCGAAAGAUGGUGAACUAUGCGUGGAUAGGGUGAAGCCAGAGGAAACUCUGGUGGAGGCUCGCAGCGGUUCUGACGUGCAAAUCGAUCGUCAAAUCUGCGCAUGGGGCGAAAGACU